rnacentral:rRNA from 1 species
CCUACGGGAGACAGCAGUGAGGAAUAUUGGUCAAUGGGCGCGAGCCUGAACCAGCCAAGUCGCGUGAAGGAUGACUGCCCUACGGGUUGUAAACCUCUUUUGUCAGGGAAUAAAGUGAGGCACGUGUGCCUUUUUGUGUGUACCUUAUGAAUAAGCAUCGGCUAACUCCGUGCCAGCAGCCGCGGUAAUACGGAGGAUGCGAGCGUUAUCCGGAUUUAUUGGGUUUAAAGGGUGCGUAGGCGGAUGGUUAAGUCAGUGGUGAAAGUUGGGGGCUCAACCGAGAAGUGCAGUUGAAAAUGGGGGGCUUGAGUUGGAGUGAAGUACGCGGAAUGCGUGGUGUAGCGGUGAAAUGCAUAGAUAUCACGAAGAACUCCGAUUGCGAAGGCAGCGUAC